rnacentral:snRNA from 1 species
GUGCUCACUUUGACAACACAUAUACUAAUAUUGGAAUGAUACAGAGAAGAUUAGCAUGGCCCCUGCAGAAGGAUGACACACAAAAGCUAUUAGAGAAAAGAAACAGAU